GUAGGGAAGUAAAGAGGAAAUGAUGAGACAUGAAAACUCUUAUCAGAGGCACUGUCGAUAUGGUGCUGUGCUGAAUAGUUUGCACGUCAGUCUGAUCCCUCC